CGAGAUGUGUAGGUGGCUGCAUGGUUGUCGUCAGCUCGUGCCGUGAGGUGUCGGGCUUAAGUGCCAUAACGAGCGCAACCUCAUCAUUAGUUACCAUCAGGUAAGGCUGGGGACUCUAAUGAGACUGCCAUCGUAAGAUGUGAGGAAGGUGGGGAUGACGUCAAAUCAGCACGGCCCUUACGUCCGGGGCGACACACGUGUUACAAUGGGUGGUACAAAGGGCAGCUACCUGGCGACAGGAUGCUAAUCUCCAAAACCACUCUCAGUUCGGAUCGGAGUCUGCAACUCGACUCCGUGAAGCUGGAUUCGCUAGUAAUCGCGCAUCAGCCACGGCGCGGUGAAUACGUUUCCGGGCCUU
rnacentral:rRNA from 1 species